GAUGAAGAACGCAGCGAAAUGCGAUAAGUAAUGUGAAUUGCAGAAUUCAGUGAAUCAUCGAAUCUUUGAACGCACCUUGCACCCUUUGGCAUUCCGAAGGGUAUGCUCGUUUGAGUGUCAUUGUACUCUCACACUUCUGAUCCUUUGGAUUGGGAGCGGUGGACUUGGGUGUUGCUGCUUUACUGUGGCUCACCUCAAAUGCAUUCGUGCAACUCUUGGUUGGACAUAGUACGGCGUGAUAAGUAUCUUCGCCGGCACCUCGCAAGAGGGUGGCUGAUCAGGAGCUCUGUGCUUUCCAACUGUCUUCAGACAACAACUGACAACUUGACCUCAAAUCGAGUAGGACUACCCGCUGAACUUAAGCAUAUCAAUAAGGAGGA
rnacentral:misc_RNA from 1 species